rnacentral:rRNA from 1 species
UACGUAGGGGGCAAGCGUUGUCCGGAAUUAUUGGGCGUAAAGAGCGUGUAGGCGGUCCGGUAAGUCGGCUGUGAAAGUCCAGGGCUCAACCCUGGGAUGCCGGUCGAUACUGCCGGACUAGAGUUCGGAAGAGGAGAGUGGAAUUCCUGGUGUAGCGGUGAAAUGCGCAGAUAUCAGGAAGAACACCAAUGGCGAAAGCAGCUCUCUGGGACGGUACUGACGCUCAUGCACGAAAGCGUGGGGAGCAAACAGG